UGCCAGCCGCCGCGGUAAUACAGAGGGUGCGAGCGUUAAUCGGAAUUACUGGGCGUAAAGGGCGCGUAGGCGGCUUAGUUAGUCGGAUGUGAAAGCCCCGGGCUUAACCUGGGAAUUGCAUUCGAUACUGCUGGGCUAGAGUAUGGUAGAGGAAAGCGGAAUUCCGGGUGUAGCGGUGAAAUGCGUAGAUAUCCGGAGGAACAUCAGUGGCGAAGGCGGCUUUCUGGACCAAUACUGACGCUGAGGCGCGAAAGCGUGGGGAGCAAACAGGAUUAGAUA
rnacentral:rRNA from 1 species